rnacentral:lncRNA from 1 species
UUUUUUUUUUUUUUUUUUGUGUAAGAAAGAGAGAUGUGAGUGAACAAAUGAGUAAAAAAAGUUAAUUUAAAAGGGAGAAGAUAAAACUGAAUACCUACUAGAGUAAGGUGGACAUAACCUGAAUAACGACUAAAUUGAGAUGGGAAUAAAGAAUUGUGUGGAGACGAUUUGUGAUGUGUGGUCGUUAUUACCUGAAGUUAAUUGCAAACUGACAUUUGCUAAAAAAGAGUAACGAAUAACUAUUAUAACAAAAAAAAAAUAACUACUAGAAUUUCUAAACAUUGUUAAUUGUUAAUUACUUAAUUAAGAACAAUUAAUCUCAACUAUAUAAUUUUCUCUAAACGCUAAAAUAAAACAAAAAUAAAUUCAUGCACCUUAAAGCACAUUACCCUCCCAUGUAUUGAAAACAAUAAAUACAUGAGAAAAAUAAAAUAGGACACCAAAUUACGGUGAGACUACAUAUAAGCUCUACAAGUUAUUAGAAGUACCUAACUUCCCAUCAAAUUAGAACAAAGAUAUCACACAUGCCCAACUUACUAAGCAAGUUGGUGAACAAUACUAAAAAUAGCCUUAGUAAGCAUAUUCAACUAGAUGAUCUCUAGUCCACACGAAAGGAAUAGUAAUAGCCUCAUCAUCUAACUUCUUAAUACAAUGACGAUUGAUCAAUCUACAUGCUUUGUACCAAGAGUGAUUUUCAUUCCGAUCAAAUCGGAAACAAGCACUCUAAUGCCAAUUCAUAAAAAAAUUCAGGAUAAAUAUUAGUUCAAAAUUUGAAAUUUUGAAUUAUCGAAAUUCAUUGGAAAUGUUGGAUCCGAUUUUUCUUUUUUUUUUUUAGAAUUUUGGAAACAUAAAUAAGAUUUCUUACAUUUUGCAAGAUUUUGAAGAUUUUCAAACUUUUAUGUAUCCACCACUGAAUAUCUUUUUCUGAAUUUGUGCGAUGUUUUUAUGUUGUUAUGUAUGUGUAUGACAUAGUUAUAUUAGACAAGAUAAAAUAGUAUGUAUGAUUAUACUCUUCGUGUUUAAUAUAUAAUAGUAUCAUUAAAUACAAUAAAAUACGAAAUAAAGCAUAUCUAAGCCUAAAAACAUGAUAAAUAAGAACAUGCAUGGUUUUUUUUAUAGUACUAAGUUUGAGAAAUUUUGGACCACAUAGGUACAAUUCAAUUGCCAUCCAAAAUUUUCCAAACUUUUUGGAAUCGGAAAUUUUCAAAUUCGAACAGAAAUUUUCGGUUCAAAUUGGAAUAUUCGGUCCAACUUGCACACCUACUUCGUACUAUUAUGUUGUACUAGUUUAUGAGAAAUCUCAACAAUUGUUUUGUUAUCACAAUGUAGACUCAUAGCUUUCUUUGGUCCAAACCCAAGAUCUUGCAAUACUUUCUUAACUACAACAAUUCACAAACACCAUGGGACGUGCUACGAAAUUUAGUUUUUACACUAGACCUCCACCAAAAGUAAAGUAUCCAGAUCUGAAACGCCUAUUAGUAAUUAAUUAAGCCAAAUCCGCAUUUGUAUACCUUUCCAUUGUUGGAGUAUGCUCGAAAAAUAAUUGACGUGACAAUACAUAAUUUGUUAUUUGUGGCAACCCAAUGUCGAGUCGUCGAUGACAAGGGCAAGUGAGAACAUCCAUCAAUCGAGCGUGUGACCUAAUAGCAGAUUAGGAAGAUUCAUUGUGAUUAAGAUGAUUCCAAGGAAUACCUUUAAGUUGUAGGGGCGGGAUUGCAAAGAAGUUUCAAUCCUGAAUAUUGACCAACCAUAGAAGUGUACGAAUGGAAGAUUAUCUAUUUAUCACACUUCUAAGUUGUGGAUGCAACUAGUCCUUAGAUAUGAGACAUCACUGGUUAUCUCAUGUUAAUAAAUGUGAUCUUUGGCAUAUACACAGGGUAAAUAUCAUAGAAGGUUUACCUUCACCCUUGAUACGUUUAUGAUUUACAAGAAUCUUCUACAUCCAUCAAAUUGUACAAUCUCAAACUACACCCUAGCACUAACUUAAAAAAUAAAAUAAAAAUCUCCGAUUUAAUCAACUAGCAUACGAACCAGUCGAGCAAAUCAUUGGCCCUUCGCUAAUCCAGCUACCAAACCCAACUUUAGGUAAGAAGCCAACUCUUAAAUUCAAACACUGAGCCUCCAUCCUAAUAUCUUGUGUUCCCCACCAACCAUUACUAUACGUUGCCCAUGCAAACAAAUGCAUGUUAAAAUUCAUUGCAUCAUCUUCAUGCUGCCUUUUAAUCUCUUCAAAAAUCCUCUCCUUCACACCCGGCCGACCUUCGUGUGACACGGUUGUAGAAAACUUCACCCGCAACCUUUUAUGUUCCUUCAGUCCCAAUUCAAAUGGACCAACAGGGAAUUUCGAGAGGGGAUUAUCUUCAUAUGAAAUUGAAGCUUCUAUGCUCUUGAAUCGAACCCACGAAACAAGAUUAGGGUUCUCUAUUGUGAAGGCCACAUCCCAAUUUACCCAAGUGAUGUGUUUGAGACGUUAAACUUGGACACGAAAAGCUAGUCAAUUCGGAUUUUGGGGGAUUCUGAAAUUAUGGACGUGUACAUGAACACACAUAGCAAUGUGAAUGUACCUAAUGCAAGUAAUAAAGCGCGGUGGACAAGUACUAAUUUUGCAACGUAGCGUGACGUGAUCGAAUGGGAUAGAAUGGGGUUUGAAGGGUUGUUUGAAAUUGGGAGCAAUGGCAUUGUAGCUGAGGGGUGAGCUUUUGCAGUAUUUUCCAUGAUUAGUUCUUCUUAUUACGGGGUUUUCUUUUUUUCUUUUUUUUUGGUAAAGAGAGAUGGGAUUAAUGAAAAAACCGGUGAAAGAAAGUUAAUUUAAAAUGCAGAAGAUAAAACUGAAUAACUAAUAGAGUAAGGUCGACAUAAUAACGACUUAAUAAGAGAAAUGGGAAUGAAGAAAUGUAUGGAGGCCAUUUGUGGUGUAGUGGUCGUUAUUACCUGAAAUUGAUCGCGAACUAACAUUUACUAAAAGAGAGUAACGAAUAACUAUUAGAAUUCUAUAACAAAAAAAACAUAACUACUAGAAUUUCCAAACAUUGAUAAUUGUUAAUUAAGAAAAGUUAAUCUCAUCUAUACAAUUCUCUCUAAAUGCCAAAAUAAAACAAAAACAAGUUCAUGCACCUUAAAGCACAGUACCCUCCCAUGUCUUGAAAACAAUAAAGACACGAGGGAAAAAAAACACUAAUACUUUGUAACUUUGUUGAUGAGAAUUGUGAAUUGUAGUAUUCUCUUAGAGAAUACAGGUAUAUAGAGGGAUUUAUAAGCCUGCUAUACAAGUAAUUAGAAGUACAACAGGAAACCUAAUUAAGGUAAGACUACAAAUGUGAUCUACAUGUUAUUAGAAGUACCUAACUCGCAAUACUCCUCUUCAAAUUGGAGUAAAGAUAUUAAAUAUGUCCAACUUAUCAAGCGCAUUGGAGAACACACUACUAAAGAGAACUUUAGUAAUUAAUUAGUGUAUUCAACUAGUUGAUAUUCAGUCCACAUGAAAGGAAUAGUAAUAGUCUCUGCAUCUAACUUCCUCUUAAUACAGUAAUGAUCAAUCAAUCCAUCUAGCUACAUGUUUCGUCCUAGGGGUGAUUUUUUGUCAGAUCGAAUCAGAAACAAGCAUAUUUCAAUGCCUAUCCAAAAAUGUUUUGGAAUCAAAUAUUAGUUCCAAUUUUUUAAUUUUGAAUUAUCGAAAUUUACCAAAAAUUUCGUAAUCGGUUUUAUUUAGGAAUUUUUGAAGCAUAAUUCUGAUCUCCAACAUUUGGUAAGACUUUGAAACUUUUCAAAAUUUUUAUGUAUCCAACAUUUAAUAUUUAUCUAAAUUUUUUUUGAGAUAUUUGUAUGUUGUUACCUAUGUAUAUAACAUAAAUUAUAUUAGAAAAAAGGUAAAAUAGUGACUUUGAUUAUACUCUUCAUGUUUAAUAUAUAAUGGUAUGAUUAAAUAUACAGAUACAAAAUAAAGCAUAUCUAAAAUAAAACAUAAUAAAUUAAGAAUAAGAAUGGUUUUUCUAUAGUACUAAGUUUUAGAAAUUAUGGACCGAAUAGGUAAAUUCCAAUUGUCAUCCAAAUUUUGUGGAAUCAUCGGAUUCGGAACUGAAAUUUUGAUUUAGAUUGGACUUUCCAAUCCAACUUGCACCACCUACUUCAACUAUUAUGUUGUUCCGGUUUAUGAGAAACCUCAAUAGUUGUCUUAUUAUCACAAUAUAUACGUGUAGCUUUCUUUGGUCCAAACCCACGAUCUCAUCAUAAUUCUUCAACUACAACAAUUCACAAAUCCCAUAAGACGUGCUACGAAAUUUAGCUUUUACAAUAGACCUCCACCAAAAGUAAAGUACCUAGAUGUGAACGCCUAUCAGUUAUUAAUUAACCCAAAUCGCAUUUGUAUACCUUUCUCUUGUUAGAGUAUGGCCGGAAAGUAAUUGACGUGAGAACACGUAAUUGGUUAUUUGUAGUAAUCCAAUAUCGAGUCAUUGAAGACGAGGGCAAGUGAGAACAUUUUCCAAUCAAGCAUGUGACCUAAUAACGGAUUAGGAAGGUUCAUUGUUGAUUAAAAUGAGUCCAACAAAUACCUUAAGUUGUAGGGAUAGGAUUGCAAAGAAGUUCCAAUCCUAAAUAUUUGACCAAACAUAGAAGUGUACCAAUAGAAAAUUACCUAAUUGUCAAUAUGUUUAGACCCAAAAUGACAUUUUUAGGCCGAGGGUGAUUAUGGGCUCAGCCCAAUGUAUGGGACAUCAGGAAUCUCAUAAUAUUCUCAAGAAAAGCCCAGCCCAGUAACAUUCGGCUAAAUCCUAUUAGAACACAAUCUUAUCUGGAUAAAAGAAUCGGCCGAAUCCUAGUAUAACAAGGAGUCCUCAGAGGCCAAUUAUGCCUCGAAUAAGGAAAUAUGCCAAGAAUCAAAGGUUGAAUCUAGAAGAUAACAAGGCUGGAUUCAGCAUCCUACAUAAACUAGGAGUGGUCGAAGCCCCAUUCGGAUUUGAUCAAGGAAUUAUAGUUGAGUGGGACUCUACUUCGGCUAUAUGGGAAUUGCUACUAUAUAUACAAAAAAAAAAAGGAAUGCAUCAUUCAAAGCCCUUCCAAAUCAACACACAAAUCGGCUUUGUGCAAACACUUACUUUACGUGACACCUCUCAAACACCUUAAGAUGUUUUUAUUUACCUUUUUUCCACCAACACAUCUUCAAUUUGGAUAAACAGUACUGUGUUGGCAACUGGCAACAUCUUCAGUUUGGAUAAACAGCACUGGAGUCGUAGAAGCAGCCGACCAGUGAACACCUUCAGUUUGGAUAAAAAGCACUGCUUCAAGACCGACUGGUUAUUUAUCCAAGUCUUGGUCAACAAGGAAUUUCUAAGUCCUUGUUGAAAAAGGUAAUCUCAUUAGCCUUCUCAGCGAAGUGAGGUGUUACCAGGUUACAACAUUCAAAUAAUACUUUUACAAUAUAAUAAUUACUUAAAAAUCAAUAAUAGAGUAAUAUUAUUCUUCACAUAGUUCUAGCAAAAAAAAAAAAAAUGCACCCACGUAAUCAUUAAUAUAUUUAAAAAACUAUUGAUAUAUUUUAAAACGUAAAAUAAAAUACAUGUAAUUAGCAUGCUACAUUCACCAAAAAAAUAUAGGUACAAAUUAAAUUAAAAUAAAUAUGGUAUAUUAAAAUAAAAUCAAGGUACAAAUAAAAUUAAAAAGAAAAUUGGUACAAACUUAUAAAAUAGGUAUAAAUUAAAAAUAGAUGUUUAUACCAUACUUAGGGCCUCCGUAUUUAGAUCUCGUAUAAAUACUCAGCGGACUCAAAUGUAAUUAUGUAAUUGUAGACAUCAAAAUUUUGGUAAAUAAAUGUUGACCGAUAAAUCAAAGUUUCAACGCUCAUGUAUUACAUAAAUUUUACACGUAGCGUGUGACUCGACGAAAAAUUGAAAUAAGUCAGAAAAGUCAUCAAACAAGACACGUGUAAACACCUGGCAGAAACGACUUAUUUCAUCUGGAAUAUUAUAUUCAAAAUUAGGCCUUGGAAAAUUCUAUAAAUAGAAGCCAAUUUCAUUCAUUUCAUUUCACUAAUUGAUAUGACACCAAAACCUUGAAGCUUUGAAACUCUAAAGCUCUCAAGCAAAUUCUGAAGGAUCGAGAAAACUCUUUUCGUUCUUCGCCAAAUCCGCCUUCAAGCUCAAGCCCCGACGGCCCCUUGAAGAACUUCCACCAAUUCAAGAUUAAGCCCCAACGGCCCUUGAAGAAAGUGUUCAUCGUUCAUCAUCCGUUCACCCUAAGAUCAAGCCCCAACGACCCUUUGGAUCAACAACGUCGACAAAUCCACACAUCCAACCGUCCUUCAAGAUCAAGCCCAAAAGCCCUUGAAGAUCCGUUCAUCACUGUUCUUUAAGAUCAAGCCCAAAAACCCUUGAAGAUCCAUUCAUCAACUGUUUGUCAAGAUCAAGCCCCAAAGGCCCUUGAAGAUCCAUUCAUCAACAGUUCUUCGAGAUCAAGCCCCAAAAGCCCUUGAAGAAAGCGUUCAUCAUUCAUCCUACGAUCAAGCCCCAACGGCCAUUUGGAUCAACAACAUCGACAAUUACACACCUUACGGAGAUCGAAUCAGAUGAUCAAAUUUGAGAGAGAUUGUAACCCAAAAUCAUCAAAUACUAUUUUGUGCACGUGUUCUUGUCUCGUUUGUUUCAGGAAAAUUUCGUGUUUACAGUAAUAAGGGAAGAGGCAAAUAUGUAAUAAGUGAGGAGUCCUUAUUCUAUAAAAUGACCCCUCACCCUCACAAUUGGGGAGAGCCUCAUUCUCACCCUCGGAGGCCAAUUCAUAGGCCUUAAGCUCACCCUCUCACCCCCUCUCAAAGCUCUCACUCUUAGAACUCUCUCUCUCUCUCCCUCACAAAUACUCUCAGAUAAAUAUAAUCAGUGUAGACGUAGCACAAACCUUGGGGUGAACCACGAUACAUCUUAUGUUAUUUACAUUUCAUGCAGAUUCACGGUCGGAUUUACGUUGUUCCAAGACCUUCGGUUUUGUGCAUCAACAAUAGAAAUAUAAAAAAUGCUAAAAAGAUAUAUUUGAAAAUGUUAAUAAGUGUUUUAUUUUUAAAAUUGACAAAUAAAGAUAUGUAAAUAAUUUAAUAUUCAAAUAAUUGUCACAUCCCGGCCCGGGGUGGACUACUUCCCGGAACCGCUCCACCACCGUAGCACGAUAUUGUCCGCUUUGGGCUUACCAUUCCCUCAUGGUUUUGUUUUUGGGAACUCACGAGCAACUUCCCAAUGGGUCACCCAUCCUAGGACUGUUCUGGCUUCCUUCUUGCUUAACUUCGGAGUUCCUACGGAACCCGAAGCCAGUGAGCUCCCAAAAGGCCUCGUCCUAGGUAGGGACGUGAAUAUACAUUUAAGGAUCACUCCCUUGGGCGAUGUGGGAUGUUACAUAAUGACAUGAAUAAAAGUAAAAAAAAAAUUGAUCAAAAUUAAAAAAAAAAUAAUAAUACUUUUUCAAUUAAUGAGAAAUGAAAAUGAAGGAUGAGAACCUAAUUUAUCAUAAAUUAUAUACCACAAAUGGAUAAAACUACAUCCAAUUGUUAUAAAGAAUGUUGCUUGAUUAAUAAAUUUAUUUACUUGGAUCCCAACUGUGUAUAUACAUAAAUAAAGUCGCAUUCUUGUUAUUGGGUUUUAAAUUUUAAUCAAGUAAAAAAAAAAUAUGACGGUAGAAAGUAAGAAAAAUUGAGGGUUUUUAUUUUUAUUUUUUUAACAAACGAUAUUAUCUACAUUAAGGGAGAGAGGAUGGGCUUAGCCUCACAAUGGACUAGCAGUAAUGUAGUUCAAAUUCGUCUUUGACGAGAAUCGAAUUUAAGACCUCUCACUUACAAGUGAAAAGGAAUAUCACUAGAUCAUAAUACUAAGUGGCAGAAAAAUUGAGUUUAGAGGGGAGUGAAACUUACUGUUAUACUUAAACUUCAAUAUAUAUUACAGUUUGCAUUGCCAAUUAUAUGAGCCAAUUUUUUUUUUUAUAGUAAAAGGUCAUUAAGAGAAACUCCAAGCCUUGCAAUCCCCCUUGCAAUGGGGUGGUUCAAUCCACUUACACCAACAAAAAGUGCUCCAACCCCCCCCCCCAAAAAAAAACCAAUGGGGCUAUUCAGUGGGCCCAACCCCCUAGACUAAGCAAUCGGGCCAUUCUUGCUCGUAUGAUCGAUUGAGUGAAUUUGACUUCAAGCUAACGUUGGCCACAUUUUAUUUUAUUUUAUUUUUACGCAAGGCGUGUAGCCUCCACGCAUGAGUGGGGGAGAGUGACCAACCAAAAUGUGUCGGUGGGACGUGCGCUGCAGGCCUACUCAGUUUCUUUUUAUGUGGGCCGUUGGAUUUCUUAGAUUCGACGGUUCAUAUUUAUCUGACUUUUGAUCAGAAAAAAUAAAAAGAAAAAAAAAUUGAAAAAGGUUGAGUCCACCUGGCACAACUUGGCAUGUUGGAUGCAAAAAAUUGUAAUUCAACGGUGACACGCCCGACCCUGAUAUCCUCCGAACACCAGGGUAGGCACGUACUGGCUGACACCCGAAGGUAACGAAGCCAUACUAACAUGCACGCGAACUAUGAAGAAAGAAAAAACAUCAAUAAAACUUGUAAAUUUAACUAUAACGAAUAUGCAAUAGUGGAACGUGUUCAGAGCAUACAACUAAUCCAGAACAUUUAAGAAGGAAUUGUAUACAAAUAUACAAACAAAGGAAAGGGUCAUACACCGAGAGGACUCGAAGAUACUGAUGCGGGAGUGCCUUGAUGUUGCGAUUGUACGCCUCGAUUCUAAGUCCUAAGGGGACACAAAACAAAACAGGAGUGGACCAAGUUUAUAUAUAAGUAAUACUAAAAUUGUUAUUCUUCAACGUACUAACCCCAGUUUAGAAAACUCAUAUAGCAUAAUAAGUAAUAAGUUUUCCAAAAACCCUGGCAUGCCAUAAAACCUUUCAUAAAGCAUAUAUCAUAUAUAAUAUGCUUAGUAGCAGUAUCACAAGACAUAAAUAAAUCUUCAUUCACCCAAAGGCAGUAUCAUUCACUCGUAGGCCCUACAUCACCCGACUGAAGCCAUAUAAUGAUAUCAUUCGCCCGUAGGCAAAAAUAAAUCUUCAUUCGCCCGAAGACAGUAUCAUUCGCCCGUAGGCCCUACAUCACCCAACCGAAGCCAUAUAAUGAUAUCAUUUGUCCGUAGGCAGAUUAUAUGAAUAACCACUAAGUAAGCACAUAAAAACAUGAACAUAAUAUUUCCAAAAUAUAUAUAUCUCAAUCGGAGCUCAAUAUCUCAAACAUCAUAUCUUAAAUAAAGCAUGAUAUUUCAUAAAGCGUAAAUCCAAUUUACUCAUGAAAAGAACAGAGAGAGAAAUAAGUAAAUAGAAACUCAUCUUUAAACAUAGAGAGGUAAAACUGUAAAUGCAAAGGCAAUUAAAUAACAACCACGAUUCACCUGCCUCAUAGAUAAAUUUUGUCCCCUCUAUGAAGUAAAUAAAAAAAUUUGUCUCUCUCCAAAAUGUAGUCUUAUUAUUUGGCUUUAUGUGUGAUUUCUUCUUAAAUAUAUGGGUUCACAUUACUGGAAAUUUAAAUUAUACAUAAAAUGUAUAUGUUGUAUAUUGCAACGAACUUUCGAUAUAACUAUAAUGUUGCGCGCCAAUUUAUUAUAACCCAAUUUGUAUCUACAUAACGGUUUGUAUAACUAACAAUUUAAAUAUAACGUUUGUAUUGCCGCCAUUGUAAUUACUUUAAUACAACCGCCAAUAUCGCACGCCAAUUUUAUUAUAACAUUUUAAAACAUAAAAUAGAAUAAAAUCCUCAAAGGCAUCAUAAACCACACUUAAUCUCAUCCAUAAACCAAAACAUAAGCAAUUACAAAUUAAAAACUAGAUGGUCCACUAGAUAUUUCAACUCUAAUUCAAUAUAACAUAAACUUUAAAAUAAAAAAAAGGACCCAUUGUUCACCAAAAAAAAAAGUAAAAAAAAAAAAACCCAUUUAGUACUUCAUCCGACUUUCACUCGAUCUAUGCUCUUCCAUCUUCAACUUCAUGUCAGUCCUCAAUGUUAAUCACCUCAACAACCUCAUCGUCACCAUUCCCUCCGCCAGAACUAGGUGGAGCUACGGCAUCAACAUUAAAUGGAACAGGGUUUCGAAGCUGUGGUGGGUGGGGGUGGGAAUGAUUAGGGUUUUGAAAACCUAGAGAAGGUUGGGCAUUUGCAGUUGGAGUCAUGAGUCGAGGUCUUGCAAUCGCAUGUACAACAUGCGCAAAAGGAAGAUGGCUUAAUGGCGGUGGUGGUGAUGAUGGGACUGCCACCACUGGAUGAAUGAUUGGCGUCCUGACCCUUGGCAUUGAGGGGCCUGUUGGUUCGGGAAACCUUUGCCCUACACUGAGCUGGCCACCGGAAGCAAUCAUAGUUAGUAGCCUAUGAUGGUGGUGAUGGCAGUGUGGAGGAAGAUUCUAUUAACUACAUUGUAAAAGAUGAAGAAUUGGUACAAAGGAAGAGGAAGAUGAUAGAGAGAACCAGAAAGAUUGUAUUGAUUAAAAUGGAUAAAAUGUAUACAAAAGAACUUAAAGAAAUGAUAACUAAACAAUCCCUUAUAUAGCCAUAUAACCUAAUUACAAUAAUACCCCUUUCUGUUAUAUCAGUUAUUACUCCCCCCUCAAACUGAACUCUGAAGUAUCCAAGUGAAGUUUGAACUAGCCAGAGAUCUGGGAAAGAUGCAACUGCGCCCAAUCGAAGUAACGUAAUGACAGUUUCCUCACUUCCAAAAUAGGACGCCCAGUGAAGCCCUGUUCUUCUGUGAGCAUCUCUAAAAUUUGCAAAAAUAUGGACUAAUUUUGUAUUGAAGAAGCCACUUAAAAUGCUAAUCCAGUGCUUCAUACCACUCAUCAGUGCCAUGGUCAACACCACAACGAUCUUUAAUUACAGUAUCAAAUAUGCCAAAAACAGCAGGAAGUGCAGGAAGAAUGAAGUCCCAAACAGUCAUAUUAAUCUUCACACGUACAUAAAGGCCCAAAAUAACAUCUUCCUCCAUCAUAUCAACUGACCCAUUUAAUGUACAGAAUUCGGAAAAUAAUGGCGACAGAAGAACUCUUCUCAAAUAUACGUGAAUCUGCAAGAUUGCAAGGCUUUCCUGAUUGUGAAUGAGCUUAGCAAAACAAUUAAAUCUUGUCUUGAUCUGAACAUAUCCAACUAGUUUUCGAUGGUGAACUGAGAAUCCAUAGUUGACACUGCCAAGAAACUAAAUCUACCAAGGAAAAUGACACUCCCAAGAAACUAAACUACCACGGAGAAUGACACUCCAAGAAACUAAAUCUACCAAGGAGAAUGACACUCCAAGAAACCAAAUCAGCCAAGGAGAAUGACACUCCAAAGCACAACACAAAUCUCACACUUCUACUAAAAAAUACCAAAUAAGGAGACUGACACUCCAUGAACACAAAUCAUACUGCAACUUAGGAGAAUGAAACUCCAAGAUUCAUAGAAAGAAUGACACUUUCUUCUUUAAAUUGACAAGAAAACUAAUACUUGCAGAGAUCAACACAUCAAGACCACAGCUUCACUUCAAUUAAACCUCGAAAGUACAUCAAAGACCACAGCUUCAACAAACACCCAAUGUCUUUACCAGAUCAACAGAAUCGCAGAAACUCCCACACAUUGUUGAUGCAGAAAGAAUAACACUGUCUUGAAAGAUUGACACUUUCUUGACUACAAAACUUCGUAUUUCUACACAUCAACAUAUCCAAUACAAUAUAUACAGAUGAACACAAACACCCAAAUCAACACAUAUAUCCCAGAUCAAUCAGAAAUAUCCCACUUCAACAUCUUGAGAAUUUAGCAAAAAACAGAGAACAAUGGUAGAAAGAUCAGCAGAGAAGAAGAAGAGGACUUUGUAUAUUUCGAAGAGCGUAUGAGAUACAAUACAAUUCCAAAUGACUGCUAUCAACACUUCGAUUAUCUAUCUCACAACCCAUAUACCAGAAUUCAUUUACCAAUUCAAAAGAACACAUACCCAAAAUCCCCAAAUCCAAUUCGAGAAAAGAACCCAGAUGCAGAAAAUAUGAACAAUAUCACCUGAUACGAAUCAGAUUCCGGCAAGCGUCCGCCAGAGUGCCACCGCUGGCGAACUCCAGAACCAAGAACCAAGUUGUAGAACUUCGAACUCUAGAACCAAGAACCAAGUUGUAGAACUUCUCGCCAUUCUCGACUGAGUGAUCGGCGGCGAAGCAGCGGAUGAUUUGUGGGCAGGAGCCGAUUUGGUCGAGGACUUGCUUCUCGUUCUUGAGCGAAUCAGAGUAGACGCCUUCACGGCCACCAGCGGCUGAAGAUGAGAAUAUGGGUUGGUGGGUUUUGCUGUGUAGAUGGUGACGAAGCUUCCCCGGCCGAUUUCUUUACCGCGAAUCCACUCCAUGAAUGUAGGGAAUAAAGAACCAUCGAGCAGCUAGAGAACCCAGAAGAAAACCCAUUUAAGAAAACCCAGAAGAAAAAUCCAGAGACCAAACAAAAGAUAAGAACUAUGAAUACGCGGAAAUGAAAGAAAGUAAUGAAGAAAGAUAGAAGCGGAAAUCAACCACCAAGAUCCAUGAGCCUUGGUGGCUCUGAUACCAUAUUAACUACAUUGUAAAAGAUGAAGAAUUGGUACAAAGGAAGAGGAAGAUGAUAGAGAGAACCAGAAAGAUUGUAUUGAUUAAAAUGGAUAAAAUGUAUACAAAAGAACUUAAAGAAAUGAUAGCUAAACAAUCCCUUAUAGCCAUAUAACCUAAUUACAAUAAUACCCCUUUCUGUUAUAUCAGUUAUUAGAUUCAUGGCCAGAAGGUAUGGAGUGGAGGCGCAUAAGUGGCAAAGAUUAUGACCAUUGCAGAUAAAAGGAUAGACGGAAUCCAUUUGUUGAUUGAUUGAACUGAAAUUUUGAGCGAUAUGGUUAAAGAAAAAUGAAAUAAUUGAACUUAAUUAUAUAAAUGAUGAGAGUUCAGCGACGCACACAAGGUAAAUGACUUGAAUAUUGGUCCUUUUUUUUUUUAUUUGCUGGUCAUAGUUUUCGCCUUAUUGGGUUAUAUAGAGAGGCUGGGAUGAAUUCUUCGCGUUGGGAGUACAAUGGUAAUUUCAUGAAUUUAUAACACAGAAUACAAAUUGUACCAACAAAAAAUGUCAAAAGAGUAGAGACCAUUAUGUUUUGAUAAUAUCAAAUCUAUGCGUUUUGAGUAUAUAUAUAUGGUAAAUAAGUAACUAAAAAUUGUAAAUCCGAAAUCAAAAGAGGAGAGACAACUUAAUGCCUACGGAUUUGCAUGGAAAGUAAGAGUCAUGGUGCAUAUCCUCAAAGAGGAGACAAAAUUAAAUGCAUUUCUAAAAAGGAGCUAUGACAAAUACAAUGUACGUAUUCCUGGCUUUUUUGUGUGCUUCAAUUUGUGAAAAUAGUAGUGCUAUUUUCAUAAAUUAAUCAUUUCUCUAAACCUAGCUAGCUAGGCAAUUUGUAUUACCCCUUUGGAUGUAUUAUUUUUAGGGAGGUAUAUGAUUUUUCGUGUUUACUGUCUUAUGUUGUGACCUUUUCUUUUUCUUUAUUUUCGAACCGAAGCAACAACAACAAUUCAUUAAUAGGAAAACACGAUUACAACAUGAUUACACGAAUGGUACCAACUAGGUGCAUCUCCUCCAGUGACCUAAUUUUUUGUCUAGAGAUAGUAGUCACUCAACGAGCAAACAUAUUAAAUCCCCUACAUGGCACCACAACAAACACACAAGAACAUAAGAACCAUCGAUGCAUUUCUGCCACAAUAGAUUAGCGGUGACAUAUCUAAAAAUGAGGAGCACACAAGAAUCAGUGCCACACACACUGUUAGGCGGCACAAACAAACACAAAUUACAACUAAGCUGAGAAGGAAACCACCUUCGUCUUGUCUCUUUAGCAAAAAAGGACACACUCGUACUGACCAUCUGUAUCAAGAUAAAUCUGCAAUAGCCAUGACCCAAACAAGGGUUAUAUGUAACAAAUAUGGCUAUGGAAGGCUAUCUAGCUACAAUAUUGGUCAUAGGUUUGUGUUUGGACCCGAUUUUACACUAUCGGCUCGUGCAAUGAAGGGCGUUGAUGAACAUAGCUCUCAACCGUUGGAUGGCAGAAUAGUUAAGAUAAUUAUUAUUGAAUGAUAUAUUGUGGUUUUAAUCAUGAUAUUAUAUUUUGACGGUGAAUUAUCUUGAUACUUUCUUGUACAAGAUAGAUGAGAUGCAAACUAUAUUUCAAGCUUUGGGACUCUGUUUUGGCCCAAAAUACUGGUUUGGGCUGAGUUCAGAAUUGUUCUCGGCCCGGAAGCCUUGCUCAGGGGUCGCUGGGGGUCAUUUGGUUCAUGGGCCGCAUAACCAAGGCCGCCCGUUUCCUAUCAGGAAGUGGAAUACUCCAGAUAAAGAGGAAGUGGGUAAGUCCCAUUGCGAGAUGGACAUAUGGGGUAGUUGAAUCCUAAUACAAGAAGGAAUCUCAGCAGGAUGAGGAUGCUGAAACUUGGGAAUGAAUGCGGCCUGAUAAGGGGUGGAGUUCAAAGUCCUAAUAUGAGUAGGACUUGCCAAGAUAAGAUUGGAUCGGGGUAAGGAGUCUUAAUCCAAAUAUAGUUUUGAUUCGAUUAGAAGUAGGUUUGUUACUAUAAAUAGAGGGAGGAGUGCAUCAUUCAAGCUCCCUCCAAUUCAACACACAAAUUGCCCUGCACAAACUCUCUCAACAACCUUGAGAUUUUUAUUUUCUUUUUCCGCCAACACAUCUUCAGUUUGGAUAAACAGCACUGUGAAGGCAACCGGUGAUACCUUCAGUUUGGAUAAACAGCACUAUCGCCGUAGAACCAGCCGACCACAGAACACUUUCAGUUUGGAUAAACAACACUGCGUCGAGGCCGACUGGUUAUUUAUCCAAGUGUCGAUCGAGAAAGACUUUCGGGUCUUUAUUGGCAGAUGUCAUCUCAUUAGCCUUUUCGACAAGGUAAGGUGUUACAGUUUACUGCACAUUAAACGCCGAGUUGUUUUAUGAUUGGAUACUUACAAGUAAGCUUUAGAGUUCGACAUUCUGACGGCCGAACCACAUUUACCAUCAAAACAUAUAUCUGUUUUGAGUAUCUGUGUCCCUAUACUCUGGUGUCGAUUCGGCGUGUUUAUACCCUUACAAAUAUAAUCACUAUGGCCGAAUCUGGCGUCAACGGUUUGUGAACUUCGUAAAAUUAGCAGCCUUGUCUUCAGGCUCUAGAACCCAAAGGUCGAGAUGUGUUCCUUCCUCGGCCGCAGUCGCAAGAUCGAGAAGUCAGUCGUGCACUCAACGCAACAUCAACACAUUUUACUCAUCGGCCGAGCUCGACCGACGAGUUGGCACACCCCGCAUCAACCGAAGGACGUAGUUAGCUCAUUAGUUAUUCGGGAUACGCGCCACGUAGGCUUGGUAGUUUUUAGGGUCAAUAGUCUGACAUGGAUCUACUCGAUCGUUGAAUUAAGAUGGAUCUGCAGCAGUCAUGACCCAGUUCAGAUCUUAGCAUAAAAGGCAGCUUAGUCGUUGAACGGUCGAAUAGCGCACAACCGCCAUGAAAACCAUAUAUAGAAAGCAGUUUCGACCCACCACAACCACAAAACCAACCCUAAACAUCCGGAUUUAAUUGCAAAUAUGAGUGUAGAGAUUCAUUCAGGAAUGAAUUUUCAUGAAAAGCGUGAAGGGUUGCUCACAAAAUAGUGGGUAAAGGGAUGAGAAAAGUGGCACGCAAAGCUUGAACAAAAAGGGGUAAAGAAGGAAGAAAAAAUGUGGUCGCCGAUCGUAAGCCACAACAAGGGGCUGACGAUUGGAGUAGAAACAAUUAGUUUAAUAACAAGGGGAGGGAAGAGGUGAGUCGCAAGAUGGCCUAUUUAUGACUUUCUCUAAUAAAAGUUGGAAUUAUAAUAGUUCGUGCUCACAGUCAUACAUUAAGAUUCUCUUAUAAAUGGGAUAAUUAAGUGCAAAUGUUUCGCGAUAAUGCCAUAUGACCGUGGAAUCAAAUUGAAGCCUAAAUUUUGUUGUUUUUUAUAUGAUUUUUUUUUUCUAGUAAUCUGAAUGUUUUAAGAAAAAUGUUUGAUUAGAUAGGCAUGUUUGAGUUCUGGUACCUAAAAGUUACCAUGUCAAUAGUUUCGUAUAUGGUAUUUCCCACACUUCCACUACCAUUUAAAUAAGGAAACUUUAAUGAAAAGGGUUUGAACUAAGUUUAGUUUAAUAAAAAACCACCCUAUAUUAUUAUUUAACCAAAAUGACUUCAUAUUUAAUCAUAAGAACAAAACUAAUUUACAUUAGAUCCACAAACAUUUAACACACAUGGGCUGAACUAAAAGCCUAAAACGAAAUGAUUUUUUUUUACACCUUUGCCCCUAACAGCAAUGCUAUUCUGUCAGCCAAUUCUGUUAGAAGUAAACUUUUCCUUAUUUACAAAUAUGCCAUUUUGUCAGCCAGUUCUUUCUCUCCUUUUUUCUUGUGGCCGUUCGUUCCCCCUUCAGGUUUUGGAAUUUUUUUUUUCUUCUUGUCAUCCGCCUUCCUCCUGAAAGGGAGGUAAAACUCAUCGUGGCUAAUGGAGAGUGGCCACCUCCUCAAACCAUUUUGCACGUUUAAAGAAAAUGGGAGCAAUUGCUUCCCCAACUUUAUUAUUAUAUACAUUUUAAUAUUAUUUUAUUAAUUGAUCACUUAUUUGUGAUUAGGUGGUUCAGAUUCUUUUGUUGAUCAAUUCACCCUUAAUUUUGCUUACCACUUAGAACCCACUUUCCUAGAAUGCAGGAGCAACUUCUAUUGGAAAUUAUCCCAGUUUCAUUUUCAGUUUUUGAAACUUUGUAGAUUUGCCAAUGGGGUCUCAACUCUUGACGGAUAAAACAAUGGUCUUGUAGAUUUGCCCGUAAAGCUUCGGUAUUUUCACCGCCUCGGGUGUUUUCAACACCACCACCUUCUCCUUAUUAUCUGCCUUUACAGGAAGUGUUGCUCGUGGCUUUGUUCUGUCCCAGCAACAACCUAAAAACAAAUCAACAAAAAAUGCAUUGAUAUCGUACUAACAAUUUGAUACUUUACAUCUUCAAGAAAGAAAAAAAAAAGAUCAAAUAGCUACAAUAUUUCCCCAAGUAAACAAAAUUAUCAAUUAUAAACAUUGAACACUAACUUUUUCUCGAAUUGGAUAGGGGUACCGUUACUAUUUCUUAAAUAGAACACUACUACUAUUAUUUCUUAAACUGAACAAUGGCUCUAUCACUAUUUUUUAAACUAAACACUCACUAUUUUUUAAACUGAACACUAGUACUAUCACUAUUCUUAAACUGAACAUUAACUAUUUCAUAAACUGAGCACUGGUAUUAUCACUAUUUCUUAAACUGAAUACUCACUAUUUUGUAUACUGAACACGGGUAUUAUCAUUAUUUCUUAAACUUAAUACUAAUAUUAUUACUAUUUGUUAAACUUAAUACUGAUUAUUUUUUAAGCUAAACACUGACUAUUUUUAGAAUUAAACACAUGUACUGUCACUAUUUCUUAAACUAAACACUGAUUAUUUCUAGAACUGAAAAAUGACUUUUUAUUAAAUUGAAAACUUGUUCUAUCAUUAUUUUUUAAACUAAAUACUAACCAUUUUUUGAAUUAAACAAGGGUACCAUCACUAUUUCUUAAAUUGAGCAUUGAUGCUAUCACUAAUUUUUAAACUAAACACUAUUUUUAGAAUUGAACAUGUGUAUUAUCACUAUUUCUUAAACAGAACACUGCUAUUAUCACUAUUUCUUAAACUUAACAAUGACUAUUUCUUAAACUGAAAAUGAGUAUUGUUGCUAUUUCUGAAACUGAAUACUAAUACUAUCAUUAUUUCUGAAACUGAAUACUAGUACUAUCCCUAUUUUUUAAACUGAACACUGACUAUUUCUAGAACUCAACACUGAUACUUCACUAUUUUUGUUGUAGUUUCAUAAAUAGUGUGAGUUAUUUUGAUUCAAUUUAAAAAAUAGUGUAGGUUAUUUUGGUUAAAUUUCUUAAAUAAUGCACAAUUUUGUUGUAGUUCCAGAAAUAGUGUGAAUUAUUUUGAUUCAGUUUCAUAAAUAGUGUGAAUUAUUUUGGUUUAGUUUCAGAUAUAGUGUGAGUUAUUUUGGUUCAAUUUCAGAAAUAGUUUGUAAUUUUGCAGUAGUUCUAGAAAUAGUGAGUUUUGGUUUAAUUUCGUAAAUAGUGGGUUAUUUUGUUGUAGUUCCAGAAAUAGUGUUUAUGUUGCUCACUUCCAAAAAUAAUGUGGGUAAUUUUGCUAUAAUUCUAGAAAUAUUAUGAGUUGGUUUAGUCUCAAGAAUAAUGUUCGUUAAUUUACUAUAGUUUUAGAUAGUGUUCAUUUUGUUCAUUUUCAUAAAUAGUGCGAGUUUAUUUCGUUCAAUUUCCAAAAUAAUGUAGGUUAUUUUGUUGUAGUUUAAAAAUAAUGUUUAUUUUGUUUCCUUCCAGAAAUAGUGUGUUAUUUUGGUUUAGUUUUCAAAAAUAGUAUGUGUCAUCUUGCUGUAAUUUCAAAAAUAGUGCAGGUUAUUUCAGCUCAGUUUUAAAAAUAAUGUUUGUUAUUUUGCUGAAGUUUCAAAAACAUUAUUUAUUUUGUUCAUUUUCAGGAAUAAUGUGGGUUAUUUUGCUGUAGCUCUAGAAAUAAUAUGAGUUAUUUUGGAACUGUUUCAUAAAUAAUGUGGGUUAUUCAUCCACAAGUAACCAGAAGAUUAAUAACUUUUCUAACUUAUCACUGUGACCAUAACGCAAAUAGAUUUGUGAUCAAAAUUCCUCCUGGUCCACGACCAAAGUCUGAAGGGGUUGAAUGCUUUGAACUAAUUUCGACAAAAAAAAUAAAAAAUAAAGAAUGCUUUGAACUGAUAAGAAUGAACAUAUUUGUUAAAGUAGGAUAAGGAUCAAACUUUUUAAAUUGUCCAUUAUAUCAACCAUUCAUCCACAAGCUUACCAUUUGAACUCCAAAAUAAUUUCACUUAUCAUGUAAACAAUUGGAUAUCAAUUACCUUUUAAAUGCUUAGACAAACACCAUCCCCCAAUCCAAACCACAACAUAAGGGAAAAAGAAAGGUCUUAGUUACACAGUUCAAACACGGAAAGCUUUGUAUGUGAGGCAAUGCGAGUCGCCCAGGAAAAGGCUGAUGCAACCUGCUCAGCUAAGCAAUUUGCCAACAAUCUUAAAAAUGUAAAAACAUUUGACUAUUUUGUUUGCUUGUUUGUUCAGAAUCAAGAUUAGAAUUCAUAAGAACAAUGUAAUGCCAUUCCCAAAUACAACUUCCUGUAAUGAAAUUUGAAAACCAUUUACUCGUCCUCCGACUCAAGGAUUGAAAUUUGAAAACCAUAAGCCCCAAUCCACUCAUUCCAUCAAGAAAACAUCAAAUAUAGUAUUAUAAUUCAAUCGAAUUAAAACUCAUUAGGGAUAGAUCAACAUUCACAAAGAUAGAAUCCCACAUCAACAAGGAAAAGAGGUCAAACCAUAUGGAAAUUGGAUGAUUAUGAUAAACUAUUUAAGAUGUAUAUGUACUAGAAAAAGUAAUUAAAAGAAAUUUUAAGAGAUAAUUAGAUAAUAAAAACUCAUCCCUCAUAUUAAAAAGGAGGUGCCAAAUGAAGCACCUAACAAAUUGAAAAGCAAAAGCAUGAAGAAAUAUCUCUGACCGUUUGUUCAAGCUCUUGACCUCCUCGUUUGUCAUUUGCCCUCCAAGCCUAGCAGCUCCAGCUUCCGAUUGCCGGAGUCUUCACCUUCAUCGUUAAUUUGAUUGGAGAAAUUCAAUAACAAAAUAAAGAAACCGUGAAUUGAAAUCAGGAACGAAAUCAGAAAUAUGCAAAUCUUUCAAACAAGAAACCGAAACGAGAGGAAAGCAUACCAUUUGACAUGAGAAACUGAGCUCCAAAGGCUCAAUACUGAGCCGCUUGCCCGUGCUUAUCGAAUUCGAUGAUUCAAUUGAUUUGUGAACCGGUGGAAUUCGAGUAGAAAAUGAAAAAGAGAUUGGGUGGAGAGAGAGAGAGAGAGAGAGAGAGAGAGAGAGAGAGAGAGAGAUUGCAAAAAUGGAGGAAGUGAAAUUGAAUUGAAAAUAAAAGCAAUAGCAGAGAAAAGAUGGGGGAUUGAAAAUUUGAGAUAUUAAACGGGGAAGGGCAUGCCGUAAGAGUAAAAUUGAAAAUUCAUUGUUUGGACCAUUUUGAUUGAAUUGAUUUAAUGUUGGGUUUUGUCUUAACCAUUAAAUAAAAUUACUAUAUGGUUUUUAGUUAACAUUUAACAUUUAAAGUUUUCAAAUCUUUUUCAUUAGUUUUCCUUUUAAAUAAGGUCAAGUUUUAGCAAUAUUGUAGGCCGGGUCGGCCCAAUAAAGCCCAAUUCAAAAUUUUUUGACACAAUGGAGCCCGGUAAUAAGAUAAGGAAGGAGCUUUUUUUUUUUUUUUUUGUUAAAUAAUAUAUAUUGUUAGAUUAACCACCGACAAAGUUUGAACUCACAGUGUCAUGCAUGCAAGGAGCUUCUUGAGACAAUGUUUAAGUGGAAAACAACUUGUCAAUGGUUACACUCAUUUUUAGUAACACACUCUAUAUUAAUAUUUGUCUUUUGAUAUUCUUUAAUUUAGAUAUGACGGUCACAAAUUAAAAAGAAUGUCUAAAAAUAAAAUGAAGUGUGUUGAUAUUAUCACUCUUUGUUAGAUCAACAUCGGUCAACGUCAUACAUGGAUGUACACGUGUCCAAGAAACAAAAAAUGUUAUAAAUACCGUAAUAAGUAACAUAUCUGACCUUAAUGUACUUAGCUUUUGCAUGGUUACUCAUAUAUAUCUCGUGACACAAACUUUUCUGCAAAGACUCUGCUAGAUUUGGUCAUUAGUAGUCUUCAUAUUGUAUUCGGUUAGGUGAGUCUCCGUCUUAAAUUGGAUUUCGAAAAGUUGCGCUAACUCUAACUUAAUGAUAUUAGGGCUCGUUUGUUUGGAUUCACUAAAUUUUAUUGGACUAGAUUGAACUAACUGUUAGUGUAGUCUAGCGUUUGUUAAUAUUAAUGAGAUUAGCUGGACUCGCCUAGACUAACAGCAUCGUCGCUAGCAGUUCUUAGCGAGAGUCCUCGAAAACCACGAGACUAGCUAAGCCCUGCUUCAUCCUACUCCCGUUGCUCUGCUGGCGUCCUCUUUGCAAUCACAGCUUCAUCUUCUAUGCGACCACAACUUCAUCUUCUCUGAAACCAUAACGUCCUCUCUGUACACAUCUGCACAUCUUUGCAAAUCCACUCGAAUCACAAAACCCAGAUUCGCUGAGAUUGCAAAACUCAUAUUCGAAUUGCAAAACCUACACACAAUUUGCAAAUCCUAGAUUCGAAUUGCAAACCUAGAUUCGAAUUGCAAAACCAAGUUCGUUCAAAACUUUGCAAAACCCAGGUUUGAUAGGAAAAUUUUGUGGCCUCAAAUCCAAAAGGAAAUAAUCAAAACCAAGGGUGCUCUGCAAACCAAAUUCCUUCUGCAACUUUCGAGAGAGAGAUGGAGGUUAGGGAAAUUUUGGGGCACGAAUUUUUUUUAUUUUUUAUUUUGGAUCCAUUUGGUGCACAAUUAUUUAUGUACAAAGUUCCUUUAUUUUAGUUAUUAGUUUGACACUGCACUAAACGCUAAACCAAAUUAGUCCAGCUUAGUUUAGUCUAAGCCAGUCCAGCUUAGUCCCUAAAGUUAGUCCAGUCCGAGAUAGUCCGAUGCAACAAACGCACCCUUAAAUGAUUGGACUUUCGAAAAGUUGUGUUAACUCUAGUCCCUAAAUGAUAAUUGAGCUCUCAAAAAGUUGGGUUAGCUAUAAUGACGUGAUUAGUUCUCAAUGUGAAAAUUGGUUUCCCUUGUGAUCUUAUGUAGGGCCACUCGUGAAGGUGCGUGUUGGAGAAUAAAACCUCACAUCGAUCAUAUGACAAAUUGUAUACAAUUAAUAUAUGGAAGUUUUCACUCCUAAUAUCUCUGAGGUCUUUUGUGAUAAAAUCUAACACCUUGUAAUAAAUGAUUAAAUUAGGACAAUAUCAAUGACAUUGGGAUGCACUAUGCUGAGCAUGAAAAAGUUUAUCAUGGUUAGGCAUGCUUUAGCCCUUCGUGUUAGCAAUCAAAUUCAACAGUACAAAUGUUCCCAUAACUUAGUCCAAUAAAGCGUAUGAAGUCGUCCGAUUAUGCUCUAACUUGCCCGAUUUCACUUUUAAAACUCUUAAGUCUUUAAUCAUUCAGUCUCUGAGUAGUCAUACCCUUCUCUUUCCAUUUCUUUUGCUCUUUUACAAGUUUAGCAUUUAUUUCAGAACCAAGACUUGAAUAAGUAUUGUAGAUAAAGUAAGGUCAAGUGUAUUCGGUUUAUAGUUAUUAUUUGGUAUACACAAAGAGUAUAAUAAAGUCCUUAACAAGGCAGAAAAAAUAAUCAAGAAUGAACCAGUAUCUCAUUUAUGACACAAUUUUCUCAUUUUAAAAAGUGCAAUAUAACUAUUUAGAAGUGCUAAUAACAAUUAUCUCUCGUAUAUCUUUUAACAUUUCACAUAUCUCUCAUUUGGUAGCUGAACAACAAAAGGUAAAAAAACUUGAAUGAAUAAUUGAAGGCUUUACAUGGGGCAUAUAACAUGGCUUAUUAGUAAACCUCAUCUUAAUUGUACAAAGAAUACCAUUGGAAGCUAAGUCCCUAGAUCUCAAAACAAGCAUGUCAACUAUCUAUCGCUUCUGUUCUCCCCACGUCUUGCUCUCGAAAAAUUCAUUCAGCAUCGACUCAAUGGUCUCAGGGCGAAGCUUUAUAUACUUCCCCGGGUUUUUUCCGUUCUCGAUCAUAGGCCUGCAACACAAUGCAUGCUAAUGGUGAUGCAAGAAAUGCAAAAAAUAUGAAUCAUUGUCAAGGGAAAUGUUUGAAAAUAUGAGAAAACAUACCCGAAACGUUUGAUGAAUGAUCUGUAAGCAGGCAAGAGGACUUCAGCAACAGCUAGCCUUAAAGACUCUCGCAAUUCGCUGUCAGGAACUGUCCACUGAGAUUGCCUUUGAUGAAGCUCCUCAAAUUGCACGUUGAAAGUCUUGAAUCGAUCUUUCACCAUUGCUCUUGAAAGUGAACUGCUAUCACCACCUGAUGGAUUUCCGCUGCCCUGAACGGUAAGACACUGCAGAAUCUGCACCACAAACAUAAAAUAAAAACACCGGAGCAGAUGAGAAUGAUUUCAACUAAUGUCCCCAGUAGAGGGAAGAAUUCGCGCGUUAUAAUUUUAGAUUUAAAUUAUUGAAAAAUUGAGCCCAUUUACUCCUGUUAUAGAUGAUAAAGAUGUUGCCAUACUUCAACACCUUCUUAUGAUAUAUUCGAAACAUAUGAAUACCAUAAUCAUCUAUAAUGUAUUAAGAAUAGACAGAUUAAAAAAUAGUCGAGACCAGGAGGAUGGGGGAGUGGAUCAAGGCCACAUGAUCAAGUGUCCUGAGGAAAAUAUGAAACGGAUAUACUGAAAUUUUGAAAUAAAAGGGUAAAUUAGGGCAAUGGAUAAAAGGAAAACAUGACCAGCACAAACAAAUCCCUUGUGGUCACUAUCUAACAAGAAUUCAGAACGAGGGAAUAAGGCAGCACUAGAAGAAAACAGAAAGAAUAUGGUGGAGAAAUAGUAUGAUCAAAGAAUCAAAACCUUUGCCCAAGAAACCCUCUUAUACUGAUUUGCAUGCUGCUGUACGAUCCUUCGGUGUAUCUGCACCCAGUCAUCCCCCAACAAAUCCUUUGCUUCUGACCUGUAUAUAAUUUCUUAUCAGCUAAUACAGUAUCAGCAUGCAGAUAGGAUCAGUAUCUUUUAAAGAGCAGAUUACUGUAAAACAAACCUCCGCACAGAUCUCACUAUAUAGUGAAUGUUGUUCAUAAGAAAUAAUUGAGUGAGUGCAGGAUCUUUAUACUGCUUAGAUUUUCCAUCCAGGUUGUUCUGAAGGGCCUGCAUAAUCCUUGUAGUAACAUUUGUUAACUGAGAUUCCGGCUCACCAUCAAACUCUUGAAAAAGUUGCUUCAGAGUGGAUUGAUAACUGUGAACAUCAAAAACAGUCAUAUGGUGAUGUUUGCACGGUUACUGUUAAAAAAGGCCCAGAAAAAUAGAAAGAAAACCAAACUUGCAAUUGGGGGAAAGGAAGAAAUACAAAAAGGCAAAUAACUUCGCUGAUAGAGAUCUUGAUAAAUUAAGGGCUUUCACAUAUAAGCCCUUGAUAACAUCACACUUUAGAGACACUUCAAACUCGAAACUUUAGAGAAAAAACCAACUUAGUUUGUAACAUCAAAAUGAUUUCACAACUAAGAAUCAAUUAGCGCAUGACAAGUGGAUGGAUGAAGCUCUUAAAGCCAGCUUAGUUUGUAACAUCAAAAUAGUUGUCCGGAAGUUUUUUCCGGUUUACUAAUAAAUAAAUAUUAGCCUCAUAACCAGCCAACAUGGAAACAAACAAUCCAAGUAACUAACAAUUCAACAAAGCAGAGAAUUUACCAAAAGCUAUAGGGGCAAAAAUAUGAUACAGUAUAUCGGAUCGCCCCCAAAGACAUCAGUAAUCACGAAUACUUCGAAGUUAUUAUAUUUGCAAUCACCUCAGAUGGGGAACAAAAUAGCAAGAAGCAGAAAGCACAGGAAUAACUACUUACUCGAAGAGAAACUUUACAUAGUUUAUCACAUAGCUUGUCAAAGGAUGGACGGUUCCAUCAAGAACAGCAGUUUUGGUGGCAUCCUUUUCAACAGCUUCUUCAAAAUCACCAAAAGUUUCCUGCGCUGUUUGAGCUAGACGCUUUGUCAAACUUAAUGCAGAUUCCCGCAUUUCCAUGCAAGCUUUACUUCCAAAAAGGAAUUCAAUCUGAAAUUAAGAUCUAAGAAUUAUAUUUUAAACCAUUUAUCAUCUUCUUAAAAGUAUUAAACCAACAUUUGAAGAACAUAUAAAGAUAAAAACGAUAACUAAACUAACAUUUUGACCUUCAACAUUCUUCAAGAAUUCUAGUUUCCUUGCAAUGUAAAUUUCUAUGAAAACUCUGUUUGACAUUAUUACACUUACGCCCAUGUUACUACUUUUCUACCUUAUGGCCUUCAAAUUACUCCAGUGAUCAUCUUAUAGAAUUAAACAUACUUAUAAUGCUACUUAUUGAUGAGUUCUAAGGUGUUGUCAGGUCUCAUUCAAACUUACACAGUUCUGCCGUGAUUUAAGAAACCAAAACUAAGGUCUUAGCAAGUAUUUAUAUCAGCAACAUAGCAUCAUUUGUCACCUUCAUAUCGAAGCCAGAACUACAGUAUGCAUUAUGUGCUACAGAACACCGGAAAUAUUACCAUGAAUGCUGAAAUACUGAAUGUUUUGUCCAAAAUUAGCAGCAACGGAUGGACUUCAGAAACCUUUUAUGCAAGUUGGUUUAAGUGCUUUAACCAAAACAAUUUUGUGCAUAAACUAUUGACUGUGAGUGUGUGAGUAUGUGUGUUAUCCAUUCAAAAAAUUGAUUGCCAUAUGUCCAUAUCGAACAGGAUAUAAAUUUCUUCCAUGAAUCCCCAUAAAUUAUCCCCCACAAUAUGCAGGAAGAAACUCUCAAAAUGUUUAAUUAAGUAAACAACAAUUUCACAAAUUUGUAAUCAUACAUGGUCUAUAUUAUGCAAUAACUAAAAUUUCAAUACCUCUGACUGAAGUUCUCUCAUUAUCUCAUACAUGUCUAAAAGAACAAAUAACUUUUCAGGUGACCUCUUGCUUCUGGCAAUAGCCUCCCCAAAACUGAGGAGCACAGCCACACUGUUUGCAGUAACUUCAGCAAAACAUGGAUCCUUAAGUGACUCAGCACCUUCAAAUAUUUGAUCGCAGAUUUUCUUUUCACCAGUAAACAGAAGUUUCACCUGUUUUAAACAGUAUAGCACUUGGGAAAUAAAUAAAUAAGAUAAUAAUAAUAAUAAAACCGAAGAUGAAAAAAGCAACAGCAACUAACAACAAGCCAUUUACAAUCAACUCAGCUAAAACUCACGAAUCCUUACAGCUAUCCGCAUAUAAUGUAUCCAAUUCCCAAUCUUAGCCUCUAAAACCUCCCACUGCAUUUUCUGAACAUCAUCUUUAGUAAGUCUCUCCACGCCUAGUUUCCUCAAGCUCUGCUCCAAAACAGAACCACGAGUGUCCCUGAUAGAUAAGGACCAUCUUUUUCAGUUUAUGAAAUAAUAUGUGAAACAAAGAAAGAUUUGAAUUCAUGCACUUCCUCAACCAAGCCUUAAGUUCAAAUAAGUGGGGUUGGUUACUGGAAUCCUUUUUUCCAGUUUUCCCUAUCUAUAGUCAUAUCCUUCGUUACAUCUUUGGUAUCUUAUGUAGCAAAGAAAAAGACCAAACAAAUUUAUUUUUCAAACCUAUUUAGAGAAUAAAUGUAACAAGCGCAAAUUCUCCUCCACCAUUUUCUUCUUUUUGUAGUUUUCUGAGAGAAAAAUGAUUCAAAUCAUGUAUCCUAAAACCAACAAUCUGUGUGUUGCUAAGAAAUACAAUGGACUAGUUCCAUCCCAUCAAGGUCACAACAUGACCAGGCAAAGAAUUCAUGGCUUAGAUGCAAUUUAGGCUGCAUUGCAUUGAUUGGAAAUGAUUACGUAUAUCAUUUCUUUACCUAUUUAUUAUAAAUCGAAUAAAAUAACUCAAUCUCAGUCAGGUGUUUGGUAAGAAUCAAGCGGUCAGAAAACCAAUUUACAGAAGGGCAAGUACUUUCUAACUCAUUUAGGUCAUCUAGAUGACAAGGGAGAGAAGAUGAGGGGAACUCUAUGAAGAAAUUUUUUCUAGUAUAUUCUUUUUUCCUAAUGAAUGACACCCUUUAUUUAAAGAUAUACUUUAACUAAUAAGUUAAUAACAGAAAUUAUCACAUAUGACUGACAAUGUAAGCAAUGGUGCAACAUAAGGUUAAACCACAAAAAAGAAAUAAAGAAUUCACCUGUAGGUCCUAAAUAGCUGUUGUUGAUGGCCAGCUAGAACCAUUUGUUGGGCUAAAUCAUGCAGUAAUGGCAGAACCCUUGGGGGAAUAAGGGUUAGUGGUGUGUAAAUGACAGGUUUUAAGCUUUUGUUUGGGUGGUCAGAACCCUUUCCACUAGCUUCAUUUUUCUGUCCAGCUGAAUCUGGCCGUAGAGAGUCGGGGAGACAAUCAAAUAGACGAUCAGGCUCCACAGGCUUGCUGAAAUACGAAAGAAAAAACAUACUUGAGGGGCUAUAAUCUCAAAGUUCAAUUAUUAUCAGACCUGAUAUUGUAUCAUAGGAUUGGCAUGGUACAAUAGGAAAUUGGCAUCCUGAGAGAAACAGGAAAUGAGGAACAAGAAGGAACAUUGAGGUUUGUUAUGAGGUGGAAGGCCAUGACUAAAAGAUUGAAUUUUACCAACAAAAAAAAACCUCUGUAACGUUUGAAUUCUACGAUAAGUAAAACAUCAAAAUUUAUCAACAAAAAUAGGGCACCAAGAAUCUUACACAAUCAUGUUCUUAUCAAGAAUCUUACAUAAUCAUUGUUCUUAUCAUGCCUUUUGGCUGACAAAGGUGAAGUAAACUUAAAUUCUUAGUGAAUUCAACUUCCUAACUACCGUUUUCAUUGUUGUAAUCACUUUUUUCAUAUAUUUGAGACAAUGUUUCUGUACAAAAUUAUACUUCCAGAUCAAACAUUACAGAGUAUCUCCCUCAACCAAAACGGAAAAAGAAUAACAAAAGAACACAAAUUUAAUACGCUUAAUUAGAUACAAUGGAAAUAGUAAACAAAAUUUCAAUGCUUGCAUGUCACAUUUAACAGUUGACUGAUAAUAAUUUGAAAGCAGGAAAUGGUACUUGAAUCUCGCAAAGAUGUUUUCCCGUAUUUAAAACGAACCUGUAAUUUGUGAGCAGCUGUCUAAACUCAUCUUCGAGCUUCGAGAUGGCUUUCGAAAGCAAGUUAUUGGCAUGGUGAAGCACCCCAUCACUGCUCUUAACAUUUUUGUGGCUACUGAAGAAGUGAAUGAUGCUUCUCAGCUGAUCAAUUGCUUCCAAAUAGCUUUCCAAAUCCUCAUGUGGCCCUCUCAGUAUUUUAGCCUCUGCCUAAACCAACACCGCCACAUUUUUCCAAUCAAAUUCUUCAAAUGUAUCAACAAACAAGGACAAAUCACUAAUUGCAUUGCAUUAACGAAGCGAAAAAAGGGUGAUUAACCUUUCGUGUGAGGUCGAAUUGCCCCAAUAUAACCUCUACAGCCUUCAAUGUCUUAUCAAUGUUCUCAUGCGCCCUCCGAAUCGAAUGUGUCCUAAUCUAUCAUCCACAAUUACCACCAAUUCAAAAACAAACACAAAUCAAAAUCCUAAAUUUAUGUCAAUUAAACCUAAAGAUCUCAUCAGCUCCAUAUAUACAUAUUAAACCAAAUCAAAGGCAAAUUACACCGGUCGAAACGAAACGCGACGUUUGGAAACUGGUACAUUCUCCGAAACACGAUGAAGAAGGUGACAUUUUCCUCAGGUUUCUUGGGAAACAAACAGAGAGAGAGAGAGAGAGAGAGAGAGAGAGAGGUGAUUGACCUGAGUGGGACGCAUGGCGGUUUCGAGGGCGGAGAGGCGGUGGUCGAAGGAGCCGAGAAUGGAGACCAUGUUGUCGGUGAUGGUCUGGCUCUUGUGCAGCGCGUCUCUGAUAGACGAAGCUCUCGCUCCCAGGGCCUCCAUUGCCUGCGAAACCCCCAUCUUUCAAAACUUUCUCGCCGGAUUUUCUCUGACUUUCUCAGUGACUGUUUGGCAAGCGAGAAAAUGCGAGAUUAUAUUUCCGAGCACGGGUUUUUGUGAGGGAGAAAUCUGACGAGAGAGAGGUUGCGUAAUAAGUCCUUCAUGUUUUUUUUCUCGUCCGUCGUCCAAACGCGGAGGGAAGCCAACGAAAGUAGUUAUAUAGGACACAAAGAGGAUCGUCGUGUCAGACUGUCAGUGAAGGGUUCUAUUAAGUGGGUCCCAAUAUCGUUCCACCGUGGCUUUCCUAAUAAAUUUUGCGCUCCUUUGCGUUACACACACAUUUACCUUCUUUUUCUUUUUCUUUUUUCUUUUGUUUAAAGGGAUUAUUUGGUGGCUUUGACAAGACAAACGACUUGGACAUCGAGAAGACUUAAAGGCAUUUCAAUCUCUUUCAACCAUCAUCAUGUGAUUCACAAACAUUAUGCUUUCUAAUAACAAACCCUUUUUUUAAUAGGGUGCUUUAUUAAUUAGUAGUAUAAAAGUUACGUUAACAAACGUUUAUCAUCUAAAUUGUUCAUUCCCUUUAUCAUCAUUCAAAGGUCUUAUACGCAAAAUGAUAUUUAACUUGGAGGUUUUUCAAUCAUUCAUAUACAUAAAACAAAUAGACAGUUCAUCACAAGAAUGCUAUUUGUUAAGGACAAGGAUUGUUUGCCCUUCACUUCCAGUGCCCUUCCCGUGCCCUCCUGUUUGUGUGGUCACGGUUAAGUCACGUCAACAUUUUAUAUACUAUUCAUUUUUGUCUUAUUAUAUCUAUAAAAAAACAAUAUAAAAUGUUGACGUAGCUUAACCGUGACCACACAGAACAGGAGGACACGGAAAGAGCACCGGAAGUGGAGGGCAGACAAUCCUUGUCCAUUUGUUAAAAGAAAAGUAAGUCCCCUAGGGGGAGACAAGCAUUAUUAUUUUUAUUUUGAAGUUCUAAAUUUUAGAAGCUUCUUUUGAGUAGCGGUUUUUCUUGGGUGCCACACGGAACCAGCCAAUAAUCUAUAUUAUUGAGGAGAAGCCCUUAUGAUUAAACAUUUAUAUAAACCCUAUAAGGGCCUUUGUUUAUAACUACUAGAAAAAAACAGAAAAUACAUAUAUAAUAAGGACAAUAUCGUAAAAAUGAUAUACAAAAUUGAACACCACUUGAUAAAGAGAUAAGCCUCAAAACGAAAAAAUUUUGCAGGAUGAGGAUGAGAACCGCCAAAGUGGGAUUAAUACUUUAAAAAAAAUGAAAAAAAAAUUAUAACGCUGUAAUAUUCCCGAACAUUAAUGAAGCUUUACUUUCAACAAAAAGAAAAAAAAAACCUGCGAAUUGAUAAUGACACAAUAAAUCUAAAAUUACACGAAUAUAAGAGGUUUUAGCUGCUAAUUCUAUUUUCUCACUAAAAAAGAUGUGGAUUCAUACAAAGCCAUUCAUAUAAGGUAGUGUGGAGCCCCUCCUCGAUGAUAUUAACAGUUCAAAUUCUGAUUGGACGGGAAAGUAAUCCAAUCCAUGGAUUACAAAAACCAAACCCAAAUCCUCCUCCCAAACAUCAAAUAGGAAACAUUGUCCCUCUCUAGACAGCUACAUUACCCCCAAAAUCUCACCUCCAAUUUCCUAAAACGACAUCGUCCUUCUAACACUUCCGCAGUCCAUGCGACCAUAUACACAAAAUAUACACACUUUAAAAUUAUGUCAUAGUCAGGUAUACCUUCCUUAUCUUAUACCCAACCGCAUACUAUCAAUCUCCCUAUCACCAAUCAAAAACCCAGAAGACCGGGACUUUUCUAGUCGGACCCUUUAACGGGUCGGGAAAUCGGACCCGCCGGCGACCUGAACGCGAAAGUCACUGGGUCGUAAGCGCACCAGUGGAACCCGACUUCUCUCCCCAUCUCGUUCGCCCUCGAACACCCCUCGCACGCCGUCGCUCCACUCCGGCGGCCCAGCCC